CAGAGCUCACAAGAACCAACAGUGUGAUUGUAAGUUUAUCUACAAGCGUCAUUGACACUAAAAAGGAGGGUGACUCAACUGAGAGGGAUGCUGCAACUUCAUCUUCUAGAUCAUCAGGUCAGUUUGGGGUGAGAAGGAGAUGCACAACUAAAGUUGAAAAGAACAAAGAUCUGCCUUCAGCCAAAGAUCAGAUGACGAGGUACCAGUGGCCAUUGAAGUCUCUGGAAACUCUAACACAACUAAAGAGCGAUCACAAACAAAGAGACAGAAGUGGAGCCAAGAAGAAGUCCAGGCAGUGGAGAAAACGCUCAUGGACUGUAUCAACUUUGGAACUGUUCCUCGGAAAGCCGAGUGUAUGAAGUGCAUUGAAGCCUCACCAGUGGCCCUCAAAAACAGGACAUGGCAAGCAGUUAAAUUCUAUGUGAAAAACCGCAUAGACGCAUUAAAACGAAAAACUUUCAAAAGAAGGUAAGCGUUGACCUUUUAUUACUACCCUUUUAUUAAACGGGCCAUUUGUUAGUGCCACAUCCAAGCUGCUUCUGUUUGGAGUUUUGAAUUUUUAGGACAGUUACAGUCAAGGUCAAGUCAACUAAAACUGCAUGUUCAUAUAUACGUAUUGAUGAAUACGUAUUGUUUUAGUUUUUCAUUUAUUUGUACAUAUUGGCUUGUAUGUAUUCUUUGCCAUAAGAUAGAAAUUUUGAAAUCUAUUCAAUAAAAUGGUUUACAUACAACCAGAAAGAGGAGUCCAGUAUUAAUGGUUAGCAAUAACAAGGUUACCAGGUACUUAAUUAAAUUAGAAUUUAUAAAUAUUUUAUUAACCCAAAAGAAAAAUUGAAGGUUGUGGCUCCUAUUCUGCAGGUUUCUUCAAAGAACUAUUGUAGAUUCUGAUGCCUGUAGACAGGAAGGAUCUUCUGUAGCGAUCUGUAUUACAGGAAAUCUAAUGAAACCUGAUACUCUGGUGUUGUAUAACAGUCUGAUGAAGAGGAUGUUUGGAUCCAGGAUUUUUUAUUUUUAUGCAAAACCAUUCUUUGCACAAUUAUUUCCAGAGGUUCUAGAGGAGCACCUGCCUUCUUAAUCAGCUUGCUGAACUUCUUUAGGUUGAUUGCUCUGAUGCUGCCACACCAAAAGAUGUAGAAAAGAUCACAAAAACAUAUUUUUUUAUAAAAAAAUUCUAAUAUAAUGUGGUUUAUUGAUUUAAAAGAACACUGAUUGCUCAUAUUUGAUAUCUUCGAAUGUAUCUUGGUUUUCCCUAAAACUAAACCCAACAGUGCCACCUGGUGGUUGUCAGAAAUGGCCAAGUCCCCAUGUUGAUCCAAAAACCUGACAGAUUUUAAAUUUUCUAAUUUUGAUAAAUUUUUACAUUAAAGUU